ensembl:snRNA U1 U1 spliceosomal RNA
ACACAUUUUGGGCAGGAGAGACACCAUUCUUGGCCUUUUGGCUCAGAUCAAAAAUAGGUAUAGGGUAAGGCUUGCCCAUUGCACUCCAGAGGGGCUGAACUCUAUAAGUUUCCCUAAAUGUGGGAAACUUAACUGCACAGUUUUGUGUCAGUGGGUGACUGCAUUUGCACUUUCCCC